CCUUGUAAUGUUGACUCUUGGGCUCCAUCUAGUGGCGACAUUGCAGUUCUGCAGGGAGCUGUGAUUUGGAUUUACCUCAACCCAGGUAAGAAAAGGGUUGGAGUUGGAGUUGGGAUUGUUGAACCGAGGACAACACCAGAGGCGGCGUCACAGGUGGAUCUCUCUCUCCUGGCGAUCUGAAUGGUGUCAGCACUCCUGUAGGCUCACACACCGGUUUGACAAGCCUGCAUGGAAGCUGCACUGCUGAUGUCACAACAAGGGGCCAAUUCCUCACCUAUAAAGGAAACUCUAGAUGUGAGCAAACAGGGAGGGGAUUGGUAACCUGAGAAGCACACAAAAGCUUCAAGAUCCUGUGAUCAGGUUUACUUGUAAAAAUGUAC